GCGCAGGCGCUGAUUAAGCCGUUGCCGGCGGCUGGAUGUGCCUUUUCCUGUCGUAGUCGCCGGCGGUUGCGUCGGGUCGGUUUCCAGUGACUCCCUUGGGUCGUUCUCUCCGCAGCGAGCCAUGUCCUCUCCUAGCAGCUCUUCCCCGCAGCAGCACGACGGGGCCGCAGGGAACGCCUCUGCCUCCACGUCUUCCCGCUCCGCUGCUUCCCCCUCCGCCGCUUCCUCCUCCGCCUCGGGCCGCGGCCGCGGCAAGGCUUUGGCGGAUGCCCGCGUCUCCGAGGAAUUGGAGAUCGCGUUGAACCUGGCGCUGGAGCGGUUCUGGUACAGUGAUGAUCAAGAGAUGUCGUUUCCUUCGUCUUUUACCUCUACCGAAAGAGCCUUUAUUCACCGACUGUGUCAGUCUCUUGGUUUGAUAUCUAAAAGUAAAGGAAAAGGAUCAAGUCGAUAUCUAACUGUCAGGAAAAAGAAUGGAUCAGAAGUAGCUCAUGCAGAAAUGACUUGCUGUUUAACACCCAGAACGAAACAGACUGUUCACAGUUUAAUUCACAGAUUUCCUCUCACAAAUAAAGAACGAAUAGAACUUCUGCCAAAGACGCAGCGAGGAAAUGCAUUUGCUGUUGAAACUGAAAACAAAGAAGUUGGGAAGACGAGUGGAAGGCUUAGCAGUGGUAUUCCUCAAGUCCCGCUGAAAAGGGGAGAGUCAGAAUAUGAUUCUUUUAGGCAAUCAUUGCCAGUUUUUGAAAAGAAGGAGGAAAUUGUCAAAAUAAUAAAGGAAAAUAAGGUUGUUCUCAUUGUAGGAGAGACUGGAUCCGGAAAAACUACUCAAAUUCCUCAGUUCCUUCUUGAUGACUGCUACGAAAAUGGAGUUCCCUGUCGUAUAUUUUGCACUCAGCCAAGACGUUUGGCAGUUAUUGCUGUAGCUGAAAGAGUGGCAGCAGAAAGAAGAGAAAAGGUUGGCCAGACAGUUGGUUAUCAGAUCCGAUUAGAAAGCAGGGUUUCUCCAAGGACACUGUUAACGUUUUGCACUAAUGGCAUACUGCUUCGCACACUAAUGGCUGGAGACAGUGCUCUAUCAACAGUAACGCAUGUGAUUGUGGAUGAAGUACAUGAAAGGGAUAGAUUCAGUGAUUUCUUGUUAAUAAAACUGCGAGAUAUAUUGCAAAACCAGACUAAUUUAAAACUAAUCAUUUCUAGUGCUGCUCUAGAUGCAAAUCUCUUUAUAAAGUAUUUUGGAAGUUGCCCAGUAAUACACAUCCAAGGAAGACCAUUUGAAGUUAAAGAGAUGUUUUUGGAAGACAUUUUACGAAGUACUGGAUAUACAAACAAAGAGAUGAUAAAGUACAAAAAGGAGAAACAGCGAGAAGAAAAACAGCAAAGCACUCUCACUGAGUGGUGUUGUGCUCAAGAAAAUAGUAGCAACCCAGAAUCACGGAGAAGACGAUCUGUUGCAAGUGUAUCUGAAGAGUAUAAUCUGCUGGAUAGCAGUGGUGACACAGUAUUUAAUCAUCUGAUCGAAAGAGAUACAAGUUGUCUUGAACCAUGGCUAAUAAAAGAAAUGGAUUCUUGUCUUUCCGACAUCUGGUUACAUAAAGAUAUUGAUUCCUUUGCUCAGGUGUUCCAUUUCAUCUUAACUGAAAACGUUAGUGUUGAUUAUAGGCACAGUGAAACGAGUGCGACUGCACUAAUGAUUGCUUCAGGGAGAGGCUUUCUAAGUCAAGUAGAGCAACUGAUUAGUAUGGGAGCAAGUGUCCACUGCAAAUCAUCCAAUGGCUGGAUGGCUUUAGACUGGGCUAAGCACUUCGGACAAACAGAGGUGGUUGACCUGUUGGAAUCUUACAGUGCUUCAAUGGAAUCUGGAAAUCUGGAUGAGAGUUCUCUGGUCCAAGCAAGUGGUAAUGACCUUGGAGCAGAGGACAGGGAACUGUUGAAAGCCUAUCAUCACAGUUUUGAUGAUGAAAAGGUGGAUCUGGACCUGAUUAUGCACUUACUUUACAACAUCUGCAAUAGUUCUGAUGGGGGAGCAAUUUUAAUAUUUCUCCCUGGAUAUGAUGAGAUAAUCAGCUUGAGAGACCGUAUUAUUUUUGAUGACAAGAGAUUUGUUGAUAAUGCUCACAGAUACCAAGUAUUCAUGCUUCAUUCAAAUAUGCAGACUUUGGAUCAGAAGAAUGUGCUUAAAACUCCACCUUCUGGCAUCCGCAAAAUAAUUCUUUCUACCAAUAUUGCGGAAACCAGUAUCACAGUCAAUGAUGUUGUAUUUGUUAUUGAUUCGGGAAAGAUGAAAGAGAAGUCUUUUGAUGCACUGAGUUGUGUUACUAUGUUAAAAACUGUGUGGAUUUCAAAAGCCAGUGCUAUCCAGAGAAGAGGGAGAGCAGGGCGCUGUCGGCCUGGAGUCUGUUUCCAUCUCUUCAGCAGGCUCCGAUUUCAGAAUAUGUUGGAAUUUCAGACUCCGGAACUUCGAAGAAUGCCACUUCAGGAACUUUGUUUACACACAAAACUUCUGGCUCCAGUUAAUUGCCCAGUUGUUGACUUUCUCAUGAAAGCUCCUGAUCCUCCACCAGCUUUAAUUGUGAGAAACGCCAUACAAAUGCUCAAGAAAAUAGAUGCCAUGGAUGUUUGGGAAGACCUCACUGAACUUGGUUAUCAUCUUGCUGAAUUACCAGUAGAGCCACAUCUUGGUAAAAUGGUGCUAUGUGCUGUUGUUCUGAAGUGCCUGGAUCCUAUUCUCACUAUUGCUUGCACUCUUGCAUAUCGAGACCCUUUUGUUCUACCUACGGUGGCCUCUCAAAAGCGUGCAGCUAUGCUGUGCAGAAAACGUUUAGCUGCAGGAACAUUUAGUGACCAUAUGGUGCUCCUCAGGGCUUUCCAGGCAUGGCAGAAGGCACGAAGUGAUGGCUGGGAGAGGGUCUUCUGUGAAAAGAACUUUCUUUCUCAAGCUACAAUGGAAAUCAUCAUAGGAAUGAGAACACAGUUACUUGGCCAGCUUAGAGCUUUAGGUUUUGUGAGAGCCAGAGGAGGUGCUGAUAUUAGAGAUGUUAACGUUAACUCUGAGAACUGGGCUGUUGUUAAAGCUGCCUUAGUGGCUGGGAUGUAUCCCAAUCUAGUGCAUGUGGACAGAGAAAACCUGGUUUUGACAGGACCAAAAGAGAAGAAAGUGCGAUUUCAUCCUACGUCUGUUCUUAGCCAGGCUCAGUAUAAAAAGAUUCCGCCAUCAAAUGGGCAAGCUGCAGCUGUUCAGGCACUCCCUACUGACUGGCUUAUAUAUGAUGAAAUGACAAGAGCUCACAGGAUAGCAAAUAUCAGAUGUUGUUCAGUUGUAACACCUGUCACUGUGGCACUCUUCUCUGGACCAGCUAGGUUACCACGUAAUGCUUUGCAAGAGCCUUUGUCCUUUCGAGGAAAUAGGGUAUCUAAUGAUAAUGACAGUGAUAGUGGGAUGGAGGAUGAAAGAUCUAAUGUGGCACUACUGAAGCUAGAUGAAUGGCUCCAUUUCAAGCUGGACUCUGAAGUUGCUGGUUUGCUGAUGCAACUCAAACUCAAGUGGCAUAGCUUGCUUUUGCGCCGUAUGCGAGCUCCUUCUAAACCAUGGUCUCAAGCUGAUGAAAUAACUAUAAGAGCAAUUAUAUCCGUUUUAAGUACUGAAGAACAGUUUGCAGGUUUGCUGCAGCCUUCAGGAGUUGGUCAGAGGCCAAGACCUGUUUCUUACAAUGAACUUCCUUCAGCACCUACCUGGAGGUCAAGCAGCAGCUCAGCAGAAACUGAAUUAUCAGAUGAUUCCUCUAAUGCUGAAAAAGUUCUAAGGAAGUCUGCACCUCCAGCAUUUCAUCAGCCAAGGAGACACAAAGAAAAAAAUGUUGUGGCUUCCAAACGAACAUCAGAUGAGAAGUCAGAUCAGUCAUCAGUGAAAUCUACAGACAGCAGUUGCUAUCCUAGCCCAUGUGUUAGUCCUUCUCCAGUGUCUGGAAAGGGUUCAAAAACUCCUUCACCAAGACUAAGUAUGCCAGUUCGGUACUUUAUAAUGAAAAGCAGCAAUCUGCAAAACCUUGAUAUUUCUCAGCAGAAAGGUAUAUGGUCUACUACGCCAAGUAACGAACAAAAACUAAACAGAGCUUUUUGGGAGAGCAGCUUGGUUUACUUAAUAUUUUCUGUUCAAGGAUCUGGACACUUUCAGGGAUUUGCUAGAAUGUCUUCAGAGAUAGGGUGUGAGCAAAGUCAGUGCUGGGGAUCUACUGGUUUAGGAGGUGUGUUUAAGGUGGAAUGGAUCCGAAAAGAAAGCAUUCCUUUCCAGUUUACACACCAUUUGCUCAACCCCUGGAAUGACAAUAAGGAAGUACAGAUAAGCAGAGAUGGCCAGGUAAUGUUACUGUCAUGUAGACUCUCCUUUACCUGUUGGAACUGUAUUUAUUUUACCGUAUUUAGAAUUCAUGUCUCUCAGCUGUCUUCAUAUGUCUGUUGAUCUGAAUUUCAGUUCAUCGGUGCAUACUGCACAUCGUGCAAAUGCAUUACUGUUGAAUUAAUUGAAAUUUUGGUGUAAAAUAAGAAAAAGUAAAUACAGCAGACAAAGCCUUACUUAAAAGAAUUUUGCACUGCACCUUCAGAGAAGUAGGUCAAGUUGUAGAAGCUGAGUCAUUAUCACUUCAGUGUGAACUGUAUUUAUGCUUUUAAUGAAAUUGUAUACUCCACAUAGGAAGUCUUUGUAAAAUGGCCUAAUUCCUUCCUAUUCCUUACUGUUAUAAUUUAGAUCUCAAAAUUUAUCUGUAAUAACUGUUACACUUCAAAGUUUGAACUAUCAUUUGUAUACGGAGUUUUUGUAUAUUCAUCCAUUCUUUGAAAGUGACAUAACCUUUAGAUUUGAGCUGGAACAGCUUUUCUGAAAUUUUGUUUGGUUUUCAUUAGGUUCAAACACUCUAGUAAAAUCAAAGCAGUCUCUUGCUUAAUGUGCCUUCAAAAAAACGUUAAAGCUGGAUGCUUCCAUAAGUAAAAGCUUUUAAGAAUUUGUAAUUUUGCUUCUGCAGCUCUUCAGACUUGUUUUUUCCAAAAUAGUCUCCAAGUAAGUGUUCAGAACUGUAACUUUGAGUUUCCUCUGAAGACUAAAGCAAAUCUUGAGAUAGAAUAAAGGUAGGAUAGUUCUGCAGUCUUUAAAGCCAGAAGCAGCUACAAAAAGCUGGAAGAGAGCAGUCACUAGUUCUCUAGUAGCUUGUGUUCUCCUUAGUCCUUUCUAAAAAGGUAGAAAAAAGUCUUUUAGAUAAAUAUAUUAGGAGUAUUGUUGUCUUUUAUCAUCGUCCUGCUUCCCAGAAUCUCUUUAGUUAGUAAGAAUGAGGAAAGUAACAUACCAGAAGCACAUGAUGGUGUCGGAUUUUAACUCUGCUUCUAUCACUUCUCAGCCUUUUGGCUAAGAUCACGUAUAGCAUCUGUCCUUAUCAGUUUAAUACCUGAUAAGGACUUUAUAUUAAAUGGAUUUUGGGGCAUGGGAAUUGCACCUGGAGCUUGCUCCCUUUGCUCCAUAUAUCAUCCUGGUAUGAAAGUACCUCCGGGCAAUUACUUCACAGGCAACCCUACAGGCCUGGGGAGGAGAGGCUGGAAAGCUGCCUGACAGAAAGGGACCUUGGUGUACUGAUGGACAGUGGGCUGAAUAUGAGCCACCAAUGUGCCCAGGUGGACAAGAAGGCCAGUGGCAUCCUGGCUUGUAUCAGGAAUGGUGUGGUGAGCAGGACUUGGGAAGAAAUCCUGCCACUGUACUCGGCACUGGUGAGGCCCCACCUUGAGUACUGUGUUCAGUUUGGGGCAACUCAAUACAGAAGGGACAGUGAGGUGCUGGAACAGGUCCAACGAAGGGCAACAAGGCUGGUGAAGGGCUUGGAGAAAAGGCCCUACAAAGGGCAACUAAAGGAACUGGGACUGUUGAGUCUGAGGAAGAGGAGGCUGAGGGGAGACCUCAUUGCUCUCUUCCAAUAUCUGGAGAGUGAUUGCAGCGAGUGCAGGGUUGGUCUCUUCUCACUGCUGACAGGUGACAGAACGAGGGGAAAUGGCCUCAAGUUGUGUAAGGAGAGGCUUAGGUUGGUUAUGAGGUUAUGAGGAAAAAUUUCUUUACAGAAAGGGUUGUUAAGCACUGGAAUAGGCUCCCCAGGGAGGUAGCCCAGUCACCAUCCCUGAAUGUGUUUAACAGCUGUUUGGAUGUGGUUCUCAGGGACACGAUUUAGUGUUGGGUUGUUAGUUAGGGUAGUGGUUGGACUUGGUGAUCUUUAAGGUCUUUUCCAACCUGAGCAAUUGAUUCUGUGAUUGUACUGCAGUAGUUCUUCAGACCUAAAGAGUUUUAAGGAUCUUUACACAAGAUUCUUUACAUCCGUGAUUCUACAAAGAACUACCCUAUUACUUGUUUACCAUCACACUUUAUGAAUUAAGCUUAAAAUAUAGACAGUAAUAAUCUUUAGCUUUAGAAAGGCACAAGGUAUGUGAUUCAAAUGUUCUUGUGUAUACUGGUGGUCUGUUCAGUUAGAAUUAUCUUCUUAAAAACUGAUACCUUACUGUGGGUGGAAAAAAAAGCUCAAACUAGGCUGAUCUUCUGUCUUCUCUCAGCCCUGUUUAAAACAAACAAAAAAACUUGUGCAGGGAGUUCUAACAUAUGUUUCGACAGCAAAAAGAAUGAGCUCUUCCAGAAGAACUGAAAGUAAUGGCCUUUAUCUGUCUUGUUAGAGGUUGUUUAUGUGCAAUACAGAACAAACUUCUCUAAUUUUCUGCUUAUUUCUAGGAGCUAGAACCACAAAUUGGAGAGCAGUUGCUAAAGCUCUGGGAUCAUACUUCAGCAGUAAAAGCCUCAACUGACAAUGUUAAGUAAUAAAAUAGAACCCUGGUUAUCAAACAUUACUGUGAACCAGCAAUGUGCCUACAAUAUAAAGAUGAGAAAGAAGAUGGUGCAACAAGCUCUGAAAGUGUUAGUGAUGCUGUGCAGCUAGCACUAGAAGAAUAAAAGGAAAUAAAGUUGAUUUUAAUAUUG